rnacentral:rRNA from 1 species
UAUGGAGGUUGCAAGCGUUGUUCGGAAUGACUGGGCGUAAAGGGAGCGCAGGCGGCCAAGUCAGUCUGAAGUGAAAGCCCGGGGCUUAACCCCGGAAUAGCUUUGGAUACUGCCUGGCUUAAGUGUGCGAUAGGAAAGCGGAAUUCCAGGUGUAGCGGUGAAAUGCGUAGAUAUCUGGAGGACACCGGUGGCGAAAGCGGCCUCCUGGACCAUUCCUGACACUCAGACGCGAAAGCUAGGGUAGCAAACAGGAUUAGAUACCCGCGUA